GUAGGUGGCAAGCGUUGUCCGGAAUUAUUGGGCGUAAAGCGCGCGCAGGCGGUUCUUUAAGUCUGAUGUGAAAGCCCACGGCUCGACCGUGGAGGGUCAUUGGAAACUGGAGAACUUGAGUACAGAAGAGGAAAGCGGAAUUCCACGUGUAGCGGUGAAAUGCGUAGAGAUGUGGGGGAACACCAGUGGCGAAGGCGGCUUUCUGGUCUGUAACUGACGCUGAGGCGCGAAAGCGUGGGGAGCAAACAGGGAUUAGAUACCCUGGUAGUCCACGCCGUAAACGAUGAGUGCUAAGUGUUAGGGGGUUUCCGCCCCCUUAGUGCUGCAGCUAACGCAUUAAGCACUCCGCCUGGGGAGUACGGCCGCAAGGCUG
rnacentral:rRNA from 1 species